GACGAACGCUGGCGGCGUGCUUAACACAUGCAAGUCGAACGCUGAAGCUUGGUGCUUGCACUGGGUGGAUGAGUGGCGAACGGGUGAGUAAUACGUGAGUAACCUGCCCUUGACUCUGGGAUAAGCCUGGGAAACUGGGUCUAAUACUGGAUACGACAUGUCACCGCAUGGUGGUGUGUUGAAAGGGUUUUUCUGGUUUUGGAUGGGCUCACGGCCUAUCAGCUUGUUGGUGGGGUAAUGGCUCACCAAGGCGACGACGGGUAGCCGGCCUGAGAAGGUGACCGGCCACACUGGGACUGAGACAGGGCCCAGACUCCUACGGGAGGCAGCAGUGGGGAAUAUUGCACAAUGGGCGGAAGCCUGAUGCAGCGACGCCGCGUGAGGGAUGACGGCCUUCGGGUUGUAAACCUCUUUCAGCACGGAAGAAGCGAAAGUGACGGUACGUGCAGAAGAAGCGCCGGCUAACUACGUG
rnacentral:rRNA from 1 species